CAAGAGUUCCAGUUGACAGACCAGGGGUGGACCUUCAGGAUAGUGCCUAACUUGAGUGGAUCAAUCAACUUUUCUCACACAGGAAGAUGGAACUGGAACUCAGACAUGAUGGUCAUAACUUAAGAUAAUGCACGGAACAGAGAGGAGAGAACUGGCAGAGUAGCAAGAAAAGUUCAUUCUUGUGAUAAUUCCAGCCCUGUGCCAGUUGAGCCCUUCAGGAAAUAUGGCUACCACCCUGCCUGGGCCUCCCUGGAAUCACCCAUAAAUCCUCUAACAACCCCCUCCCCCCAUUUGGCUUAAGCUGCUCUAGUAGCUUUAUGCUACUGUGACAAAAGAGGCCUAACCCGUGCACAAUGGCAGUGUGUGAAACAAAACAUGCAUUCACCUCCUCAGGCACAGGUACUUUGUGAGGGUGUUUGAACUAGGCUCUUUGUAACUCCAUGUGGUCCCAGUGGAGAUUCAAGAGAAUCUGUAUUUCCUGGAGUCCACUUGGAGAAACUGCAGUUUUUAAUUCAAUUGUGAUUUCCCUUCCUCCUUCCUUUCCUUCCUUUUUCCUUCCUUUCCUUCCCCUUCCUUCUUUCCUACUUCCUUCCUUCCUUCCCUCCUUCCUUCACUUUCCUUUUCCUUCCUUCCUUUUAUUGUAUCAUAUCCCAGCCCUUUUUAUUUUGAGACAGAGUCUAAGUUGUUGAGGCUAGCCUCAAACUUGCUGAGGCCCCAGCCUCAGCCUCCUGAGUCACUGCAAUGUAUCACAGUAUCUGGCUAGUUUUUAAGAUUAAAUUCUUUAAUUUCUUGCCUAGAUGGAAGUGAUAUCGCUAUCAACCUAGGGGUCUGGGAGGUCGGUUUUGAAGGCAUUUUGUCUGGGAGGUGGAUAGGUGUCUUAGUCUGU
rnacentral:lncRNA from 1 species